GCGCGUUUAGCUCAGCGGGAGAGCGCUUCCCUGACACGGAAGAGGUCACUGGUUCAAUCCCAGUAUCGCGCACUA
rnacentral:tRNA from 6 species